rnacentral:rRNA from 1 species
AUUGAACGCUGGCGGCAGGCUUAACACAUGCAAGUCGAGCGGGGUGAUGGUGCUUGCACUAUCACUUAGCGGCGGACGGGUGAGUAAUGCUUAGGAAUCUGCCUAUUAGUGGGGGACAACAUCUCGAAAGGGAUGCUAAUACCGCAUACGUCCUACGGGAGAAAGCAGGGGAUCACUUGUGACCUUGCGCUAAUAGAUGAGCCUAAGUCGGAUUAGCUAGUUGGUGGGGUAAAGGCCUACCAAGGCGACGAUCUGUAGCGGGUCUGAGAGGAUGAUCCGCCACACUGGGACUGAGACACGGCCCAGACUCCUACGGGAGGCAGCAGUGGGGAAUAUUGGACAAUGGGGGGAACCCUGAUCCAGCCAUGCCGCGUGUGUGAAGAAGGCCUUAUGGUUGUAAAGCACUUUAAGCGAAGAGGAGGCUCUUUUGGUUAAUACCCUAGAUGAGUGGACGUUACUCGCAGAAUAAGCACCGGCUAACUCUGUGCCAGCAGCCGCCGUAA